rnacentral:sRNA from 1 species
UAUUCUGCCCUACGGGGAAGGAUGAGAAGCUUCGACUAAGGUUCGACUCGAGCGUCAGCGAGAGAACGUUGCCGCAGGCAACGGCCCGAAGG